rnacentral:tRNA from 1 species
GCAGGGGUAGCCAAGUUAGGUCUACGGCGCUAGAAUAGUGCUCUAUUAUGAGUUUAUGGCGUUACUGAGGCUCUAGUGACAUAGGUCUUCGAUUGAAACUUCUCAUCGGCCUAAAUUCGUGGGUUCGAAUCCCACCUCCUGCA